CUCUGUGACUGGCUUGCUUGAUAGUUAGGGUCUGAUUGCUGCCUGAGACACCAUAUCGGUACUCCUCAGAGUUGGUGAUCACAGGAUCUGGUUUGCCACUGAAAGGAAUCUUGAUGCUGACCACUUCACCUCGGAGAGCAUGAACUGCUCCCAUGCCUUCAAGAGUUUUAGUGGGUAACCAGGAUGGAACUGUGGUGUUGCUUGCAGGAGAAGCUUACUACUGGUUUCUACUUCUCCAACCUCAUUGGUGGCUAUGCAGCAGGCUCACCAGGUCCACCAGCAUUACAAGCUAGGACGCGGAACCUGUAUUCCGCACCCUGAGAAUCAGAGGUGGGGAGAGUGGUGGAAGGGCCUGUGGACUUACGGAUGCUGCUGCGACACUCUAUGACCUCAGACUGCAAGUAAGAGCCAAUCCCGAAGCGGUUUGUUGCAGCCACACGGAACACAUACUCAUUUCCUUCAAGAAUAGACACCUUGAUGGCUCCUCUGGCAGUUCUUGAUGACCAUGGAUGAGCUAAUGGCUGUGGUCUCAAUGGUGGCUUCUUGAGGUAAGGUUCUUUCAUUCAUGUUCCAGGUGACGGUUGGAGGAGGCUUUCCAGACACAUAGGCAAUGAUUCGGAUCACCCCUCCAGCAUGGACGACAAUUCUAUCUCUGACACUGGCAUCUAGCUGAAGGUCAGGUAAAACUGGAAGCAAUUGAAAAUUACAAAUGUGAUUUUUCCCCUUCAAUCUGAAACAUAAAUACUGAUGGCAUAAAAGAAGGAUUGA
rnacentral:antisense_RNA from 1 species